GGAGAGGUGGCAGAGCGGCCGAAUGCACCGGUCUUGAAAACCGGCCUGGGCGCAAGUCCAGCGAGGGUUCGAAUCCCUCCCUCUCCG
rnacentral:tRNA from 1 species